AUUGAACGCUGGCGGCAGGCCUAACACAUGCAAGUCGAGCGAGCGGCGGACGGGUGAGUAAUGUCUGGGAAACUGCCUGAUGGAGGGGGAUAACUACUGGAAACGGUAGCUAAUCCCGCAUACCAUCAGAUGUGCCCAGAUGGGAUUAGUUAGUAGGUGGGGAAAUGUCUCACCUAGGCGACGAUCCCUAGCUGUUCUGAGCGGAUGACCGGCCACACUGGACCUGAGAAACGGUCCAGACUCCUACGGGAGGCAGCAGUGGGGAAUAUUGCACAAUGGGGGCAAGCCUGAUGCAGCCAUUCCGCGUGUAGGAAGAAGGCCUGCGGGUUGUAAAGUACUUUCUGCGGGGAGGCGUUACCCGCAGAAGAAGCACCGGCUAACUCCGUGCCAGCAGCCGCGGUAAUAC
rnacentral:rRNA from 1 species